rnacentral:rRNA from 1 species
AGAUGGUGAACUAUGCCCGAGCAGGACGAAGCCAGAGGAAACUCUGGUGGAGGUCCGCAGCGAUUUCUGACGUGCAAAUCGAUCGUCCGACUCGGGUAUAGGGGCGAAAGACUAAUCGAACCGUCUAGUAGCUGGUUCCCUCCGAAGUUUCCCUCAGGAUAGCUGGCGCCCGGGAAAUCGCAGUUGCAUCCGGUAAAGCGAAUGAUUAGAGGCCUUGGGGCCGAAACGACCUCAACCUAUUCUCAAACUUUAAAUGGGUGCGGGGCCCGACCCGCCGGCUCGGGGCCGGGUUUUCCAAUGCACGGAGCGCCCAGUGGGCCAU